GCCUGGGCUUGCUCCCCGCCGGCACAUUUCAGUCUAGACAGCCAUUUUCACCCAGGACAGCAGCGAGGCCAGAAAGGAUGGAGAAGCUCGAUACCGUAAGUCAGGCUGGAAUCUCACCAGCGAGCCAUAGCUGCAGGAGACUGGGCAGAGGGUUGCGCUCGCAGCAGCUGCAGCGGCCGAGCCGGCGCCGGGACCCACCCGCGCGUCCACCGCGGAGUCCCGGAGUGAUGCCACCCUCCGCGCCGCCUCGCCCCUCCUAUGGUACCACGCAGAUCCCCAUUACCCGGCAGGCGGGCAGUUCGCGCCGGCGCCCAGCAGAGCUCGGGUAUCCUCCGGGAGAAGCCUGGGCACCAGUGCGAGAACGAUAUGUGCCUCCGGUUCCCGGGAGGAAAGAGCUGGAGAGAGCCGGAGCUGAGCAGCACUUCACGCCGAAGUUUCCCCCUUUGAAUCGUCUGGAGUUUAUGAAACUGUCAGUGUACUUGGUGAAUACUCUGGGGAAGAGGGG
rnacentral:lncRNA from 1 species